AUGCGUAGGUGGCAAGCGUUGUCCGGAUUUACUGGGCGUAAAGAGUAUGUAGGCGGAUAUUUAAGUCAGAUGUGAAAUUCCCGGGCUUAACCUGGGAGCUGCAUUUGAUACUGGAUAUCUAGAGUGCGGGAGAGGAAAGUGGAAUUCCUAGUGUAGCGGUGAAAUGCGUAGAGAUCAGGAAGAACACCAGUGGCGAAGGCGACUUUCUGGACCGCAACUGACGCUGAGAUACGAAAGCGUGGGGAGC
rnacentral:rRNA from 1 species